GACGAACGCUGGCGGCGUGCCUAAUACAUGCAAGUAGAACGCUGAAGCUUGGUGCUUGCACCGAGCGGAUGAGUUGCGAACGGGUGAGUAACGCGUAGGUAACCUGCCUGGUAGCGGGGGAUAACUAUUGGAAACGAUAGCUAAUACCGCAUAAGAGUAGAUGUUGCAUGACAUUUGCUUAAAAGGUGCAAUUGCAUCACUACCAGAUGGACCUGCGUUGUAUUAGCUAGUUGGUGAGGUAACGGCUCACCAAGGCAACGAUACAUAGCCGACCUGAGAGGGUGAUCGGCCACACUGGGACUGAGACACGGCCCAGACGCCUACGGGAGGCAGCAGUAGGGAAUCUUCGGCAAUGGACGGAAGUCUGACCGAGCAACGCCGCGUGAGUGAAGAAGGUUGUCGGAUCGUAAAGCUCGGUUGUAAGAGAAGAACGAGUGUGAGAGUGGAAAGUUCACACUGUGACGGUAGCUGACCAGAAAGGGACGGCUAACUACGUG
rnacentral:rRNA from 1 species